CUGGGUAUUUUUUAAACAAUGCAGUUAAAAGUUGCUCGAAAAAGAAUCAACGCCUACAAUUUUUUUGGCUUCUUGCUUUACGUCAGUUUACUUACGACAAGUAAUGGGUAGUAUGUACGCCGGCUAUUUCCUCACUCUGAGGAGA
rnacentral:sRNA from 1 species